AUAUCCAUGGCAGGUGGGGUUCCCGCUCUGUGCUUUGGAGACCCCCUGCCUCUGUCUCUGUACAGGGGAGCUUCUUCCUUUGUUCUUCCCACUUCUAUCUUGCCUACUAAACUCUGGGCUCCUUAAAACCGCUCCACGUAUGUCCGUGUCGUUUUGUCUAAGCUGGCAUGAGGACCAAGAACCUUGGUGUUCCUCCACUCAUCGGAGCCGUAUCAGUAAGUUUUUGUUGAAAGCCAGAUGCCAGGUAAAAGGAACUCAGUGCAUUCGAAGCAGUGCAGUGGGAAGGGAAGGUAGAGAGAAGUGCUGAAGAAACAUUUUAAUAUGGAGGAUCAGUGCUGAGUCAUCACAUGGAGGACCUUGAAUCCACAGUGUACUUUGGGUGAUAAAGACAAAAUCAUUUAAAAAAAAAUCGCCAAUAUUUGGCAUUGUUUGUUAUGAGAGAAUAAAUUUACUACUUCUGACUUCCACAAUUCUAGUUCAGAUUAGAAAAGUCCAGCCAACACUGGACUUCCCUGAGAGUAUCGGCUUCUAGUUUGAGUCAAAGUUCCCAUGGCCAUAGCUUUUCCAGACAUCUGUAUCUAGAUUAAACACAGAUCAUUAUAAGUGCACAACAAUAGUGCACAUGUGUUUCAGUGGUAAGUACAAUUUAUCUUUCUCUGCUACAAACCCUGCUGUCUCAGUUUAAUUGGUAUGUUAGUAUGCAGUGGUCAUACAAACCUGUUCGUCCCGUAACAAACUCUGGAGAGCAUAACCUGCGGGCCUUUGUGGGGAUUUGCCUGUGGCUUGGUGUCCCCUCACCAUUGGAACUGACCUGGAGAAAAGCCCAAGUAGUCACUUGGUUCCACUGAGCUAUGGGCUGUCUUCAGUGCCUUGCCUAUCAAAAGGCAGUACUGACCUUCAGCACAUAAAUUGCUUAAAUAAAU
rnacentral:lncRNA from 1 species